rnacentral:lncRNA from 1 species
AUCUGUACAAGAUGAUCAACAGCAACAAUGGGGAUUUUGUUACAUAUGCUAUGAUGGACCUCUAACAGCCUGCUUGAGAGCGUGACACUUUCACGCGAACGGAUUCCUCUUGUUACUCGAUGAUAACUGGGUGAACUCUAUGCCGUAUAAAGGCAAAAUAAUGUAACCGUGAAGAUGUUUCUGAGAAGUUCCUUUGCUUCUUUUCUGGCUUCGGCUAACAUAGAGUUCACCUGGCUAUCAUCGGGUAACAAUGGAGGUUGUUUAACUUUUUAAACAAUGGGUCAAUUCGUGUGGUUCAAAUGUCACUCUCUCAUGCUGUUUAAGGUACUUUAUAGGUUGAUCUAAUCUCAAAGACAUUAAUCAAGAAUUUCAAGGGUGAGUUAAAGGGCACUUCUUUAGCAGAAGCUGGGACAAAGCAGAGAUUGCUUUAAAACACCCGAGUUCGAACAAUUCGAUCAAUAAUAGAAGAUAAUGUUUACAAAUAUAAUUAUUAGAUUUGAUUUUAUGAUCUAAAUCUCACAAUUUAACUUUCUAACCUAGUUUAUGCUGGUACUUUAUGCAAAUCAGGG